rnacentral:rRNA from 1 species
GAAUGGUGGAUGCCUUGACUGGUAAAGGCGAUGAAGGACGUACUAGACUGCGAUAAGCUACGGGGAGCUGUCAAGAAGCUUUGAUCCGUAGAUUUCCGAAUGGGGCAACCCAAUGUAUAGAGAUAUACAUUACCUAUAUAGGAGCGAACGAGGGGAAUUGAAACAUCUUAGUACCCUCAGGAAAAGAAAUCAAUAGAGAUUGCGUCAGUAGCGGCGAGCGAAAGCGCAAGAGGGCAAACCCAGUGCUUGCACUGGGGGUUGUAGGACUGCAAUGUGCAAGAGGUAAGUUUAGCAGAACAUUCUGGAAAGUAUAACCAUAGAGGGUGAUAGUCCCGUAUGCGAAAAACAAACCUUAGCUAGCAGUAUCCUGAGUAGGGCGGGACACGAGGAAUCCUGUCUGAAUCCGGGUCGACCACGAUCCAACCCUAAAUACUAAUACCAGAUCGAUAGUGCACAAGUACCGUGAGGGAAAGGUGAAAAGAACUGAGGUGAUCAGAGUGAAAUAGAACCUGAAACCAUUUGCUUACAAUCAUUCAGAGCCCUAUGUAGCAAUACAGGGUGAUGGACUGCCUUUUGCAUAAUGAGCCUGCGAGUUGUGGUGUCUGGCAAGGUUAAGCAAACGCGAAGCCGUAGCGAAAGCGAGUCUGAAUAGGGCGCUUAGUCAGAUGCUGCAGACCCGAAACGAAGUGAUCUAUCCAUGAGCAAGUUGAAGCUAGUGUAAGAACUAGUGGAGGACUGAACCCAUAGGCGUUGAAAAGCCCCGGGAUGACUUGUGGAUAGGGGUGAAAGGCCAAUCAAACUUCGUGAUAGCUGGUUCUCUCCGAAAUAUAUUUAGGUAUAGCGUUGUGUCGUAAUAUAAGGGGGUAGAGCACUGAAUGGGCUAGGGCAUACACCAAUGUACCAAACCCUAUCAAACUCCGAAUACCUUAUAUGUAAUCACAGCAGUCAGGCGGCGAGUGAUAAAAUCCGUCGUCAAGAGGGAAACAACCCAGACUACCAGCUAAGGUCCCUAAAUCUUACUUAAGUGGAAAACGAUGUGAAGUUACUUAAACAACCAGGAGGUUGGCUUAGAAGCAGCCAUCCUUUAAAGAAAGCGUAAUAGCUCACUGGUCUAGUGAUUUUGCGCGGAAAAUAUAACGGGGCUAAAGU